GAAACGGGUGGUAAUGCCGGAUGCUCCGACUCCUCGCAUGGGGUGUCGGGAAAGAUUUCAUCGGUAUGGGAUGGGGUCGCGUCCUAUCAGGUAGUCGGCGGGGUAACGGCCCACCGAGCCUACGACGGGUAGCCGGCCUGAGAGGGCGACCGGCCACAUUGGGACUGAGAUACGGCCCAGACUCCUACGGGAGGCAGCAGUGGGGAAUAUUGCACAAUGGGCGCAAGCCUGAUGCAGCGACGCCGCGUGCGGGAUGACGGCCUUCGGGUUGUAAACCGCUUUUGAUCGGGAGCAAGCCUUCGGGUGAGUGUACCUUUCGAAUAAGCACCGGCUAACUACGUGCCAGCAGCCGCGGUAAUACGUAGGGUGCAAGCGUUAUCCGGAAUUAUUGGGCGUAAAGGGCUCGUAGGCGGUUCGUCGCGUCCGGUGUGAAAGUCCAUCGCUUAACGGUGGAUCUGCGCCGGGUACGGGCGGGCUGGAGUGCGGUAGGGGAGACUGGAAUUCCCGGUGUAACGGUGGAAUGUGUAGAUAUCGGGA
rnacentral:rRNA from 1 species